rnacentral:rRNA from 1 species
UACGAAGGGGGCUAGCGUUGUUCGGAAUUACUGGGCGUAAAGCGCACGUAGGCGGAUACUUAAGUCAGACGUGAAAUCCCUCGGCUUAACCGGGGAACUGCGUCUGAUACUGGAUGGCUUGAGGUUGGGAGAGGGAUGCGGAAUUCCUGGUGUAGCGGUGAAAUGCGCAGAUAUCAGGAGGAACACCCGUGGCGAAAGCGGCUCUCUGGGACGGUACUGACGCUGAGACGCGAAAGCGUGGGGAGCAAACAGG